UCCAGACUCCUACGGGAGGCAGCAGUGGGGGAUAUUGCACAAUGGGGGGAACCCUGAUGCAGCGACGCCGCGUGGGUGAAGAAGCGCCUCGGCGCGUAAAGCCCUGUCAGCAGGGAAGAAAAUGACGGUACCUGAAGAAGAAGCCCCGGCUAACUACGUGCCAGCAGCCGCGGUAAUACGUAGGGGGCAAGCGUUAUCCGGAUUUACUGGGUGUAAAGGGGGCGCAGACGGCGAUGCAAGCCAGGAGUGAAAGCCCGGGGCCCAACCCCGGGACUGCUCUUGGAACUGCGUGGCUGGAGUGCAGGAGGGGCAGGCGGAAUUCCUGGUGUAGCGGUGAGAUGCGUAGAGAUUAGGAAGAACACCAGUGGCGAAGGCGAUUCUCUGGACUGUAACUGACGCUGAGGCUCGAAAGCGUGGGGAGCAAACAGGAUUAGAUCCCCCUGUA
rnacentral:rRNA from 1 species